CCCAGGACUGACACCCUGGGCUACCAUAUCUCGUUCCUUCGGGACU
rnacentral:sRNA from 1 species